CCUACGGGUGACAGCAGUGAGGAAUAUUGGUCAAUGGACGCAAGUCUGAACCAGCCAUGCCGCGUGCAGGAAGACGGCUCUAUGAGUCGUAAACUGCUUUUGUACGAGGGUAAACGCAGAUACGCGUAUCUGUCUGAAAGUCUCGUACGAAUCAGGAACGGCUAACUCCGUGCCAGCAGCCGCGGUAAUCCGGCGGAUUCAAGCGUUAUCCGGAUUUAUUGGGUGUAACGGGUCCGUAGGCGGUCGGAUAAGUUAGAGGUGAAAUCCCCAGGCUCAACGUCGGAAUUGCCUCUGAUACUGUUCGGCUAGAGAGUAGUAGCGGUAGGCGGAAUGUAUGGUGUAGCGGUGAAAUGCUUAGAGAUCAGACAGAACACCGAUUGCGAAGGCAGCUUACCAAGCUACUUCUGACGUUGAGGCACGAAAGCGUGGGGAGCAAACAGGAUUAGAUACCCUUGUAGUC
rnacentral:rRNA from 1 species